rnacentral:tRNA from 1 species
GGGGUGAUAGCUCAAAAGGUAGAGUUUCGUGUUCGCAAUGCGAAGGUUGGGAGUUCAAUUCUCCCUCACUCCACCA